GGCAGCCUGGUGUAGUGGUAGGAGUACUGGACUAUGACUCUGGAGACCAGAGUUCAAAUCCCAGCUCAGCCA
rnacentral:tRNA from 1 species